rnacentral:misc_RNA from 1 species
UUUCCGUAGGUGAACCUGCGGAAGGAUCAUUACCGAGCGCCGGCCGCCCUCAAAAGCGGCCGCCUCCCGUCCUUUGUCUUCCGUUACACGCUUCGCUUCGGCGGGGGAACCCGCCGGCGUACCAGCGAAACCCGCCCGUAGAACGGUGCCGUCCGAGGUUGCACAUGCGAAACACAAAACUUUCAACAACGGAUCUCUUGGUUCUGGCAUCGAUGAAGACCGCAGC